UACAUAAUAAGUGCAAGAAGAAGCAUAUAGGUUAGUUGGAUUAGGUAGUUGGUAGACUUGGUAGACAUUUCAAUACUCGUAAUGACUCCUGUGUACUUUGUGCUAGUUAUAUCUGUGCUGGCGAGCGUCGUCGCCCAUCCUUAUGAGGCGUCGAGUGCGAUAAAACAGCAAAGUAGAGUGAAACGUCAAAUACCUGGCGCUCCAGAUAUACAAGACCCCACGGACCCGAGGUACCAGGAAUUGGCCCAAGAAUCGUUUGAUAAGUACCGAGAGACUCACUCUGCCGGUCAGAUAAUUGUCAAGGAUAUCAUAGUUACAAAAGUCACCAAACAGUUGGUGGCUGGAGAUAUGUAUCGUCUUUCAUUCAUCGUGUUCCCCAUCUAUGGUGAUGCACUUAACUGCUAUUCUGAAAUUUUUGUUAACUUAGAAAAUCAAAAGAAAUUUACUGUAAAUUGUGAUAAUUAAAUUCUCUUACUUUUCUUCUUGCACCAUUUUUUAUUACAUCUCUGUUUAGCCCUAUGGUUGGCUGAUAGAGAAUGCCUUUAGGCAUUAAGUCCGCCAUUUGUACAUUUUAUUUGUAUUUUGUGGAAUAAAGUUAAAAUAAAUAAUGUUAAACAGUAGAGUAGAAUGUAACGACAUACAUUACCUGCCUGGCGAUGGCGGUAGAGAGCCUUGGGUGAUUCACUUCUACAUGUCCAGUCGCCAUCAGAUAUAUCGGAGCGGCCGAGGUGCUCAAAAAUAUAUGAACACGCACUCU